GCGAGGGUCAGUUAUAUGUGGCCUGGUGAGGUCAGUGUGACAUCCGAAACAUUCUUGGACCCAAAAAGAAGUUCUCCCUUCGCCUCCUCUGCUCCAAAUCAAUGGCGACCGACGGCGCGAAAGCACCAGGGGAAGAAGAAGAGGCCGUGGACGACGAAUGGCAACACGUUCAAUCCCCUGAUUCUCCGCCGUCUUUCCGCUUACCUCCCUCUUCUUUGAGUACGACCCAAUGGGACACCAACGACGGCGUCGUCGCCGUCGUCGGCGGAGACGACUCCGUCCAACUCCAACAGUGUCGCUCCUCUUCCGUCUUCCCUCCCCACCAUCCCGAGGGCCUUGAGCAUCUCCCACCGCCACCGCCACAUACACCCACUUCACCUCCUCCUUCCUCGUCUCCGUCGUCGCCAUCGGCAUCUUCCUCUUCGCCUUCUUCUCCUAAUGGGACGGAGAAUGAACCGCCAUCGCCGCCGCUGCCGAGUCGUCCGCCCGCCGGAAUUCUCGAGUCCGGCAUCUGCGGGAUUGCUUCGAGGGUCCGCCACGGCUUGCUUCUUGCUGGGGGUUUCUGGUCGUUCGGCUCGGCUGCGGCGGCGGCCGGAGUGGCGGCGGCGGUCCUGCUCUCGUUGGCAUACGUGAGAACGCAGAGGAGGAGGUGGCGGUGGUGGAGAAGGGACAGAAUCCCCAUGGAGGCGAGCGAGAACCACCUCCUCCUCCUCAUCAGAGACAAGGACCAGCUGUAAUUGCAAGGUUUGCCAGAUUCAUGUGCUUCCUGGGCAUGUAAAAUGGGAUAAGGAACUGAGGAGAACGAAACAAGAGGAAUUUGAAGAUCAGCCAACUCUUGCUUCAAAUUGCACAGAUGAACGAACUCAUAGGAGCUCGGCGACGGGUUCAGGUGCUCCGAGUCAGUGGUUAAAUGCUUUCCAUCUCUAGUCAGUCAUAACUCGCCGGUGCCCUCGUUCAUCGAGGCCAAGAUGCUCCGACCGCCUCGAGAAUUGACGUGAAAAUGCGAGGAUUUUCGCCUUCCAGUCAAUGUAUAUGUAUGGAGGGCAUACCAUUGAACUGCUUGUAAGUCCUGAUUCAGUGAUGACAAUUGGUGACUGCACCAAUCUAUUAUUCUGUAGUCUUAUCUGUGGAAAUUCCAUCAUUUUGCUAUGAUGAAUGUUCUGCGUAGUUUAUUUAA